rnacentral:rRNA from 1 species
UACGUAGGGUGCAAGCGUUGUCUGGAAUUAUUGGGCGUAAAGAGCUCGUAGGCGGUUUGUCGCGUCUGCUGUGAAAGUCCGGGGCUCAACUCCGGAUCUGCGGUGGGUACGGGCAGACUAGAGUGCGGUAGGGGAGAUCGGAAUUCCUGGUGUAGCGGUGAAAUGCGCAGAUAUCAGGAGGAACACCGGUGGCGAAGGCGGGUCUCUGGGCCGUAACUGACGCUGAGGAGCGAAAGCAUGGGGAGCGAACAGG